rnacentral:rRNA from 1 species
UGGGGAAUUUUGGACAAUGGGCGAAAGCCUGAUCCAGCAAUGCCGCGUGUGUGAAGAAGGCCUUCGGGUUGUAAAGCACUUUUGUCCGGAAAGAAAUCCUUGGCUCUAAUACAGUCGGGGGAUGACGGUACCGGAAGAAUAAGCACCGGCUAACUACGUGCCAGCAGCCGCGGUAAUACGUAGGGUGCAAGCGUUAAUCGGAAUUACUGGGCGUAAAGCGUGCGCAGGCGGUUUGCUAAGACCGAUGUGAAAUCCCCGGGCUCAACCUGGGAACUGCAUUGGUGACUGGCAGGCUAGAGUAUGGCAGAGGGGGGUAGAAUUCCACGUGUAGCAGUGAAAUGCGUAGAGAUGUGGAGGAAUACCGAUGGCGAAGGCAGCCCCCUGGGCCAAUACUGACGCUCAUGCACGAAAGCAUGGGGAGCAAACAGGAUUAGAUACCCUGGUAGUCCACGCU